rnacentral:rRNA from 1 species
UACGAAGGGGCCUAGCGUUGCUCGGAAUCACUGGGCGUAAAGAGCACGUAGGCGGAUUGUUAAGUCAGGGGUGAAAUCCUGGAGCUCAACUCCAGAACUGCCUUUGAUACUGGCGAUCUUGAGUCCGGGAGAGGUGAGUGGAACUGCGAGUGUAGAGGUGAAAUUCGUAGAUAUUCGCAAGAACACCAGUGGCGAAGGCGGCUCACUGGCCCGGUACUGACGCUGAGGUGCGAAAGCGUGGGGAGCAAACAGG